rnacentral:rRNA from 1 species
UACGUAGGGGGCAAGCGUUGUCCGGAAUUAUUGGGCGUAAAGAGCGCGUAGGCGGUCCGAUAAGUCGGCUGUGAAAGUCAGGGGCUCAACCCUUGGAAGCCGGCCGAUACUGUCGGACUAGAGUUCGGCAGGGGAGACUGGAAUUCCUGGUGUAGCGGUGAAAUGCGCAGAUAUCAGGAGGAACACCGGUGGCGAAGGCGGGUCUCUGGGCCGAUACUGACGCUGAGGAGCGAAAGCGUGGGGAGCGAACAGG